rnacentral:lncRNA from 1 species
GCGCUGCUUGCCCUUCUCUUCCCUUUCUUCUCUUCUUGCUUCCCUCCUUCUCACAUAUAUGAUACCAUGUUAACCACCAAGCCCCAAAACCAAGACCAGCUAGCACUUUCCCAAUUGUGCCAACAAACCACCACUGUCUAAAUCUACAACCAACCACGACCAUGUCCUACCUCGACUGUAAACCACCACCUCCAAAGCCCUAAAUCACUAUUCCCACCAAUAGCUUUGCAUCACCACCACCAACAACAAACAUCGUACCACAAUCAUUGAUGGUAGUAAUCAAAUCCCCACGCAACCCCAAAAUUUAAUAUCAAAAAAUUAAAAAUAAAAAUAAAACUGCAAUUGGCUUAAUUGUUUUACUUGAUUAUGUGAUGGCGGGUCUAGUGAUGGAAAUUGUCAAUAACCGCAGCCGUCAACACAUCACCAUCACGUUGAUCCAAUAUAUCCAAAUCACGAUCUGGUAUUGUGAUCGCAACCCAUCACCAGCAUCAAACCCACCACUACCAUCGAAAUCCGAAUUGGAUAUUUUUGCCUUCAUUACUGCGUGUG